rnacentral:rRNA from 1 species
UGCCAGCAGCCGCGGUAAUACAGAGGGUGCGAGCGUUAAUCGGAAUUACUGGGCGUAAAGGGCGCGUAGGCGGUCUGAUAAGUCGGAUGUGAAAGCCCCGGGCUUAACCUGGGAAUUGCAUACGAUACUGUCAGGCUAGAGUAUGGUAGAGGAAAGCGGAAUUCCGGGUGUAGCGGUGAAAUGCGUAGAUAUCCGGAGGAACAUCAGUGGCGAAGGCGGCUUUCUGGACCAAUACUGACGCUGAGGUGCGAAAGCUAGGGGAGCGAACAGGAUUAGAUA